ACCGCGCGCCACCACUUGGGAGCUCUGCCGGAAAGGGAGGGGCGCUGGAGAUAACGCACGCGCAGCCAAACACGGCACCACCGAGCGACCACCUGCGGGCUAGCUCCUACGAGCUGAGCGAGCGAGCUCCUCCCAGGCACAGCACGGCUAGCUAGCUAGCUAGCUGCGUGGUCGGUCGACAUGGGCGACGGAGCGGCCGCCGUGCCGAGCAGGUUCCGCACGAUCUGCGUCUUCUGCGGCAGCAGCACCGGGCACCGGAAGGUGUUCGCGGACGCCGCGCUCGAGCUCGGCCACGAGCUGGUGCGGAGGGGCAUCGGCCUGGUCUACGGCGGCGGCAGCAUCGGGCUGAUGGGCGUGAUUGCGCGGACGGUUCGCGACGGCGGCUGCCAUGUCCUUGGGGUGAUUCCUAAAGCGCUCAUGCCUAUUGAGAUUUCAGGCGAAAGUGUAGGAGAAGUGAAGGUUGUAGCCGACAUGCAUCAGAGGAAAGCUGAGAUGGCUCGCCAAUCUGAAGCGUUCGUCGCUCUCCCAGGUGGGUAUGGAACAAUGGAGGAGUUGUUGGAGAUGAUAACCUGGUGCCAACUUGGAAUUCAUGACAAGCCAGCGUCCUACAGGUCGGCUUGCUGAAUGUCGAUGGUUACUACGACCCGCUGAUUGCCCUGUUUGAAAAGGGGGCAACCGAGGGCUUCAUCAACCCUGACUGCAGGCAAAUAUUUGUUUCUGCACCAACCGCAAGCGAGCUGCUGACAAAGAUGGAGGAGGUAGCCCCCGCGACGAGCUGGGAGAUCUCGGAGCUCGGCUACGGGAACGCCGGCGCACCGGCAGAAGACUCCUAGCUAGAACUCCAUCACCUGAAGCUGAAGCGAAGCUCUCUCCACUGAUGUUGCAUUUGUUUUCCCCGCUGUUUCCUCAAAGUCUCCAAACCACUCAACUAGGUAUCGGCGCGAGCUCGGGGCAGUUUCUUGUCUGAAUCCAUCAGGAAAUCGACCCCAUCCUCGUGUUCUCGCGGCUCGCAGUUUGAAGUUUGAUUGCUCGGUUGUGUAAGCUGCCGCUCCUCUUCCGGUGUGCGUGUGUGUGGUCAUUGUGGAAACAGAAUCUGCCCGGGCCGGGGCAGCAGCGCGAAAGCGGCAGCUCUGCCCCGGCGACGUCACAGGUGAGCGGCCGACUGAUUGGGCCUGUGUGUACUCAUUGCCGGAGCCUUCUUUUGGUUAAAAAAACGGUGGUGAUGUGAGAUGGAUAGAUGGAUGGGGUCAUGAUUCGUGCU